rnacentral:rRNA from 1 species
AACGACUCUCGGCAACGGAUAUCUCGGCUCUCGCAUCGAUGAAGAACGUAGCGAAAUGCGAUACUUGGUGUGAAUUGCAGAAUCCCGUGAACCACCGAGUCUUUGAACGCAAGUUGCGCCCGAAGCCAUUAGGCCGAGGGCACGU